AGUCAGACAAGCUAUCACCUCCUUUCGUGGCAGCAGGUUUCCGCACAAAAGGCGCCGGCCUCUCUCGAACAUUUCUUGCUCUGGAAUGACGAGGAGACGAUCGCUGUAAUGUGCUCGGGGGCCGCGGAGGUGCCUUGGGUUUUCGCGGAUCUCCUGGAUCCUCGUGACUUCAAGUGCAUGAUGCGCCGUCCGCUAUCUCGUGAGUCUCGGUGCUCGGAACAGCUCUGACUAAUNUUUUUGGUUUUCCGGGCACUGGCGACAUAGACGAGGGAGUAUUUUCUCUUGCCUAACCGACGCCGCCGGCCGACGUGCUGGACUCGGAUUGAUCGGAUAUCAUCGAGCCGCCGGGGAGCUGGAGGUUACGGGAACGUGGGAGAAAUGGAAGCUCAUGGCGGCGCCCAGUUACAAAAACAAAGCAGGCGAGCCUGCGUCCGCAGCGCGCUUGCUUUUGUUUUAUAUA
rnacentral:misc_RNA from 1 species